CGGUCGCACAAAAGUUAACAAACAUCAAAGCACAGAUUUUGUAAAGUAUUCGAGGAACGAGUGACGGUGACCUGGGUCUCGCCGCCAAGUAGAUUCAUCCACCAAAGAGGGACUUGUACCAGCAACGACGACAAGAAGUUGUAGCUCCUCGAGGGAGUUCAUUAGCGUCGUAAAGGAAAACUCCAGGUACAAAUAAAAUGUCUCAAUAAUAUCUUGGUGGUGCGGUAUCAGCCAGGCAUUGAAGUCGGCUGAAGGUCAUCGCCAUUUCACGUUCGGUCACAAUCAUUAGUUUAACAAAAUUUAAGAAU